AUCAACAAACGGGAGUUAGCAUUUAAAGGACUUGCUCAAGGCUGGAGGUGAUGGUGCAGACAGAGAACAAGCCCAGGGCAACUGCUCUCACGGGGCACCUGCUAUAUGCUGGCCUGGGUUCCACACAGAGGUACAGAGAUGGUGGAGGGAACAGGACAGGGGUGAAGAAACCAAGGCACAAACCAGUUCAAAUAACUUACCCAAGGCCCAAGUGGUGGAACCAGGAUUAAAUCCCACUGGAUCCCACAGCCCUGACCCCCACCUUGGGUUGACACCAUGGAGUGCCUGGCCUUAGAAGGUAUCUGAGACUACACCUGAAGCUGCUCCAUGAGAAGGAAAGCUUGGGGCAACUGCAGCCACUUUGCCACCAUGAGGGGAGAUAGCGGCAGCCAGGAAGAAGGCCGAGAGAAAAGGUGGAAGAGUCACACCAAUCCCAUAAUCACCUCCCUCUGAUCUGCAGUUUCCUGUGAUAAAUUGGCCUCUAUCAUUUAGUUCUUUAUUACAAGCAUUUUGUUAUUUGAGGCUGAAACAUUCUGGUAGACUGAUUCACGGAAUUUCACUGUUUUCCAAAAUAAUUAAUUGUUGCAGCUAAAAGAGACCUGGGAGAUCAACUAGAUUUGAGUCUCUUUGUAAUAGAAGAAUCGGAGGCAGAUGCAGAGUCAGAGCCACCAGGAGAACCUGGGCCUCCCGAGUCUUAGCUCAUGACAGGUUCCCAACAUCAUGAAGAUGGAGCACCCAGGGCAGGGGCAUGGGUGGACAGCCAGGGUCAGAGUGUGGAUCCUGGCAUCUGAGAGUUGUGGGCAAAAGAAGGGCAGAGUGGGCUGAGCUUGGGCAGGGCUAUGGCCAGAGAUAUCUGAAACACCAGAGUCUGAGGAAAGGCAAGUUAUCACCCCAGCUUUAUGUUAGGGUGCAUGCACGCGCGUGCGCAUACACGCACACGCACACGCAUGUGCACACAGACCUUUGCCCUGGGCUCCACUUCCCAGGCUCGCCGGGUCUCUGGGAUCUCCUGUUUCCCCACUGGCCUGGCAGCGAGAUCCUCUUCCUCUCACCGAUUAGGGCUUUUUGUGGUUUUUGUUUGGUUUCAUGCCCUA